UACGUAGGUGGCAAGCGUUAUCCGGAAUUAUUGGGCGUAAAGCGCGCGUAGGCGGUUUUUUAAGUCUGAUGUGAAAGCCCACGGCUCAACCGUGGAGGGUCAUUGGAAACUGGAAAACUUGAGUGCAGAAGAGGAAAGUGGAAUUCCAUGUGUAGCGGUGAAAUGCGCAGAGAUAUGGAGGAACACCGAUGGCGAAGGCAGGUUACUGGGCAGUCACUGACGCUGAGGAGCGAAAGCAUGGGUAGCAAACAGGAUUAGAUA
rnacentral:rRNA from 1 species